UCCAGAUCCACUGCAACCCUGACCAGGAUAAAGUCUUUAGUGUAGAUGAAUGAAGGAAUAUUUCCUUCAAAUGUUAUGUGCUCUCCCAAACCACUGCUGUUGUCUUUUAGUGACAAAUGUUUGACAUUGAUGGACGUCUAUGCCCAUAUAAUAAAGUCUAUUAAGGAUUAUUUAACAAGCUAAACUUGUUUGAGACAAGUGAGUGAUGAUCAUUUACAGUACUAAAUCUAAAUUAAUUGUUCUGUCUUUAAUUAAUACAAAGCAAGUUAAGAACUAAAAAACAUUUCCAUUGUGAUUAUUAAAAGCUGUAGAAGACAGAAACCAGCAGGCUGUUUUGAAUGGACCAGCAUAACAAUAUGCAAAUGCAUAUGCAAACCUUCCCCACUUACAGCUACAUAUAGAGAAAUAUCAGCCUCGGUCACUGUGGGCUCUGGAGAAUUUAGCACUGCUUUUAGUUAAACGAUGUUCCUUCCAUUUUUGCUGCUGCUGGCAGCUUCAUCCUAUGUGGAAUGUGCAGUAGAACUCACUCAGGUCACCUCAGUGAUGUUAAAGCCAGGAGACUCUUUAACCCUCAGCUGUAAAGUAUCCGGCUACUCUGUAACUGAUAACAGCUACGCCACAGCUUGGAUUCGACAACCUGCAGGCAAAACUCUGGAGUGGAUAAACCACAUUUGGGGUGGUGGAAAUAUUUAUAAUAAAGAGUCUCUAAAAAACAAGUUCAGUAUUUCUAAAGACGGCUCCAGCAGCACGGUGACUCUGAGAGGACAGAAUCUGCAGACAGAAGACACAGCUGUGUAUUACUGCGCCCGCUACACACACUGAUGCUUCUGCUUAGCU